UGGGGUGUAGUGUAACGGUUAACAGGCGCCUUGGCAGGGCGUGAUGUGGGUUCGACUCCCAGCCGCCUCAU
rnacentral:tRNA from 1 species